AAACCAGGAACCUUCAGUUACUCCAGCAUGAAGGAAUCAACUGCUAUAGAGACCACAUUCCCUGGAGUUUUAUAAACUAUGCUGGUCAUCAGAUCACUUUUAGACAUCAUGUAAGGUAUUGAUUUUGGUCACCUCAUGGUGGUUUUUUUUUUUUUAAUUUUUUUAUUUUCCAGUUCUUAAGAAAAGUUCUUAAAAAUGUAAAUAGCUAAUACUUGGGAAAUUUUAAUGUAAACUUCAGUCUCUUUGAAGUGAGUUGAGCACAUAUUAAUUGUCAUUUUAUUUCAAUAUCUUUUGGCAGUGUUGUUUUCACGUAUAACCAACCAAUGACUUUCAUGAUAGUCACAAACAAAAACAGAAUAGUGCUUUCCCCAAAUGGAAAUGUUUUAUGGUUCUGUCUUCUAGUUCCCUGAGACAGACACAUCUGAAGUGAGUAAAGAGUGUAAUCAAAAUUAUAUUCUUAAAAAGUUCUCUCUUGUUUUAGGUUCCUUAGUGAAUACUCUCUCUCUCUCUCUCUCAAUGGUUUCUAAUGGUGAAUUUCUUUUAAGAAAAGUUUAUCUCUGUAUUCUACUCCCUUUUCACCCACUAAAACACUUAGAUUUAUUUUCUUUUAGUGUACACAUAAAAUAUUGCUUUUUAAUUUGACACUCCACUGAGUUAAGAGUGGCAAUUCUCCUAAAUUAUUUUCUUUUUCUUUUUUUUAUUUUUAUUUUUCAGACAGGGUCUCACUCUGUUGCCCAGGUUGGAGUGCAAUGACAUGAUCAUGGUUCACCGCAGCCUGGCUCACUACUGCUUCACCUCCUGGGCUCAAAUGAUCCUCUCACCUAAGCCUCCUGAGGAGCUGGGACUACAGGCACACACCACCACACCCAGAUAAUAUAUUUUUAAAAUUUAUUAUUGGGACGGGGUCAUCCUAUGUUGCCCAAGUUAGUCUCAAACUCUUGAGCUCAAGUGAUCCUCCCACCUUGGCCUCCAAGGGUGCUGGGAUUGCAGGCCCAAGCCAUGACAUCUGGCCAUUUCUAAAUUCUUAAUGUGGAAUAUUUACAUUUUAUCGUUGGAAAGACAGCCUUCAAAGAUUAAUACUUAUUAAAUAAUAGAAUGUUCUUAGCAAACAAACAGUUAAUUUUUAAAAUGAAAAGUCAAGAUGAAAGAAAAAUAUUUCACAGAAUGUUAAUGAAGUGUGGGAUAAAUUUAGUAUCUUCAUAUAUUAACAUAAGAAGUAAUAAAAUGCAAUCACAAAAAUAGCCCUGGAAUUGAAUUGCAUGUUGGGAGUGAUGGUUUGAUGGCAACUCGGAAUACAAAAUGAGCAGAUUGAAGAGGUUCUAAUGUAUUCAGGGCCAGAGAAAUUAUUCUUUAAACUUUUCUUCCUCUUAGCUGUCUCCAUUAAUGUUCAUGGUCAGGUUGGCCUUUCGGAUAAAAGUGAGAUGAUGAACAUCAAAAUGCACAGAACCCUAUGGGACCACAUGGUGGUUACUCAAUACAUGUUUCUGAAUCUGAUUCUGAUAAAUAUAAGUCUAGUCUUUGAAAAAUUAACUAUCAGGGAAAGAAAGGGUCAGUAAGUUUUCUCUAUGGUGAGCCCAUCUUUUCCUUAUUUACUUAUUAUGUAUUAAACAGCUCCUAGGUGACAGGGCCUGUGCUAAGUGCUCAGUUCCUACCCUUAAUUAAAGACAGGCAUGCAAGGCUAUAAUUGUACCCACAUUCCUCUUGAGGUCACACCAGAGCUCUCUCCAGUGGGAAGAACUUUAAAUAGCCAAUCUCUAAUAAGCACAAGGGAGCCACAUCAUAGGAAAAAAUGUGAAAAGACAAUGGCAUUUUCCACUUCUUUACACCACCAACAAGGGGAAAUGGCUGAGCAGUGCGUCUUCCUCAAGAAAACGUUCCUUCAACUUUGAUAUCACUGUCAAUUGAAAAAUAUGACCAUAGAUUUCUUCCACUCUAGAAUCCACUCCCUUUUGUCAUAUGUCUUUGCUGCUUCAUUCAGUGGUGAGGUUGCUGUCCCACUUCUUGAAUCUGGGAUGGCUUUCUGAUGGCUUUGGCAGAUAGAAUAUGACAGAAGUGGGGACGAGGGUUCAUGCCUAUAACACCAGCACUUUGGGAGGCUGGGGGAGGGGGGAGGAUCACUUGAGGUCAGGAGUUCAAGACCAGCCUGGCCAACAUGGUGAAACCCCAUCUCUUCUAAAAAUACAAAAAUUAGCUGGGUGUGGUGGCUCAAGCCUGUAAUCCCAGCUACUCGUGAGGCUGAGGCAGAAGAAUUGUUUGAAUGCGGAAGGCAGAGGUUUCAGUGAGCCAAAAUCACGCCAUUGCACUCCAGCCUGGGCAACAGGAGCAAAAUUCUGUCUCAAAAAAAAAAAAAAAAAAAAGACAGAAGUGUCAUGGUACAACUUCCAUGUCCAGACCCGAGACUUAGAAUGAACUUAGAAAGUCUGUGGCUUUCAACUCUUUAAUCUCUUAGGAUGCCACUCUGAAUGCCACCAUGUAAGGAAGCCUGUCCAGUCUAUCAGGGGAAAAGGCGCCACGUGGAUAGAAAUCAAACCAAAAUGCCACAGCCAAAGGCUGGCACCAAGGCCAGGCAUGUGACCAAGGCAUCUUAAACCUCCCAGCCUCAAGCUACUGUACGUAGCCACAUGAGUGAGCACAAGCAGAAUCAGCAAAGGGACACUCCAGCAAACCCACAGAAUGGUGAGA
rnacentral:lncRNA from 1 species